UGCAAGCCCUUAAAAGGGACGAGAAGUUUGGUUCUCUGAUGUUAACGGCGGACGGGAGAGUAACGCGUGGAUAACCUACCCAUUCCACUGGGAGAACUUCGGGAAACCGGGGCUAAUACCGGAUAAUAUUUUGAACCCCAUGGGUCAAAGGUGAAAGGCGGUCUUGCCGUCCCUUAUAUAUGGAUGCGCGCUGCAUUAUGUAGUUCGUGAGGUAACGGCUUACCGAUGGCAAGAUGCAUAUCCGACCUGAUAGGGUGAUCGAGUCACUCUGGGACUGAGAGACGGUACAGACUCCUACCGUGGGCAACCUUGGGGAAUCUUCCGCAGAGGGGCGAAAGCCCUGACUGAUAAACCUCCCCUGGGUGAUUAAGGUCUGCGGAGCGUAAUACUUUUGUUUUAAGGGAAGAACAUAACUUGGAGGGGACCUGUCCACGUCAUCGACCGGACUUAAUACCAAAGGGCCCGCCCCACUAACUGGGAUCCAGCCGCGGUUAUUACUCAGGAUGGCAAGUGGUGUCAACGGAAUUAACUGGGGCGGGAAGCGCCGCUUAAGGCGGUUUUUUAGUCUGAUGUGAAAGCCCACGGCUCCUUUGUGGAGGGUCAUUGGAAACUGGAAAACUUGAGUGCAGAAGAGGAAAGUGGAAUUCCAUGUGUAGCGGUGAAAUGCGUAGAGAUAUGGAGGAACACCAGUGGCGAAGGCGACUUUCUGGUCUGUAACUGACGCUGAUGUGCGAAAGCGUGGGGAUCAAACAGGAUUAGAUACCCUGGUAGUCCACGCCGUAAACGAUGAGUGCUAAGUGUUAGGGGGUUUCCGCCCCUUAGUGCUGCAGCUAACGCAUUAAGCACUCCGCCUGGGGAGUACGACCGCAAGGUUGAAACUCAAAGGAAUUGACGGGGACCCGCACAAGCGGUGGAGCAUGUGGUUUAAUUCGAAGCAACGCGAAGAACCUUACCAAAUCUUGACAUCCUUUGACAACUCUAGAGAUAGAGCUUUCCCCUUCGGGGGACAAAGUGACAGGUGGUGCAUGGUUGUCGUCAGCUCGUGUCGUGAGAUGUUGGGUUAAGUCCCGCAACGAGCGCAACCCUUAAGCUUAGUUGCCAUCAUUAAGUUGGGCACUCUAAGUUGACUGCCGGUGACAAACCGGAAGGAAGNGGGGGAUGAACGUCAAUCAUCAUGCCCCUUAUGAUUUGGGCUACACACGUGCUACAAUGGACAAUACAAAAGGCAGCCAAACCCGCGAGGUCAAAGCAAUCCCAUAAAGUUUGGUCUCAGUUCCGAAUGGAAUUCUGGCACCUCGACUACCUGAAACUGGAAACCCCUAGUAAUCCGAAAAUCACCCUGGUUCGGUGAAAACCGUUCCCGGGGUU
rnacentral:rRNA from 1 species